rnacentral:rRNA from 1 species
AUUGAACGCUGGCGGCAUGCUUUACACAUGCAAGUCGAACGGUAACAGGGAGCUUGCUCCGCUGACGAGUGGCGAACGGGUGAGUAAUAUAUCGGAACGUACCCAAGAGUGGGGGAUAACGUAGCGAAAGUUACGCUAAUACCGCAUACGAUCUAUGGAUGAAAGCAGGGGACCUUCGGGCCUUGUGCUCCUGGAGCGGCCGAUAUCUGAUUAGCUAGUUGGUGAGGUAAAGGCUCACCAAGGCGACGAUCAGUAGCUGGUCUGAGAGGACGACCAGCCACACUGGAACUGAGACACGGUCCAGACUCCUACGGGAGGCAGCAGUGGGGAAUUUUGGACAAUGGGCGCAAGCCUGAUCCAGCAAUGCCGCGUGAGUGAAGAAGGCCUUCGGGUUGUAAAGCUCUUUUGUCAGGGAAGAAACGGCUGUGGCUAAUAUCCACGGCUAAUGACGGUACCUGAAGAAUAAGCACCGGCUAACUACGUGCCAGCCGCCGCCGUAA